rnacentral:sRNA from 18 species
CGAUAUGCGAGCGACCUUUCCUCCUCCCGAGUUCGCUUGCGGGAUCAGCGCUACUCCUCCUCCCGGAAUGCUGAUCGGUUCUUUUGGAAAAGCCUGCCGCACCUCCUCCCGCGGCAGGCUUUUUCG